UGGACUAUAUUGAUGAGCUACAUAAGCAAGCAAAUGAGAAGAAAGAUGUUCACAGCCAGGCAAUCAUUACCACAGAUAGGCUAAAGGAUGCUAUUUUCAAGGAGAGGCAUUGCAAGGCUCAACUUGAAGUUAUAGUUCACAGACUUCAAAAUGAAAUUAAAAAACUAACUAUUGAAUUAAUGAAAGCACGAGAUCAACAGGAAGAUCACAUCAGACACUUGAGAACUCUGGAAAGAGCAUUGGAAAAAAUGGAGAAGCAAAAAGCACAGCAGCAGCAGGCACAGAUGAGACUGAUCCAAGAGGUGGAGCUCAAAGCCUCGGCUGCUGAUCGAGAAAUAAACUUACUUCGAACCUCUCUUCGCCAAGAAAAGGAGCAAGUACAACAACUUCAUGACCUUCUGGCACUGAAAGAACAGGAGCACAGACAAGAAAUUGAAACUCGGGAGUUUUUCAAUGAUGCUGAGUUCCAGGAUGCAUUAACUAAACGAUUGUCCAAAGAAGAAAGAAAACAUGAGCAAGAAGUAAAAGAAUACCAAGAAAAAAUUAAUAUAUUAAACCAGCAGUAUUUGGAUUUAGAAAAUGAAUUCCGUAUUGCUUUAACUGUUGAAGCUAGAAGAUUUAAAGAUGUUCAAGAUGGCUUUGAAGAUGUCGCAACUGAAUUAGCGAAGAGUAAACAUGCUCUUAUUUGGGCUCAACGUAAAGAAAAUGAGUCUUCCUCUUUAAUUAAAGAUCUGACCUCUAUGGUGAAGGAACAAAAGACAAAACUCUCAGAAGUCUGCAAAUUGAAGCAGGAAGCAGCAGCAAAUUUACAGAAUCAAAUCAACACUCUUGAAAUUUUGAUUGAAGAUGACAAGCAAAAGAGCAUUCAAAUAGAACUUCUCAAACAUGAGAAAAACCAGCUCAUUUCUGAGCUGGCAGCCAAAGAGUCGCUGAUUUAUGGCUUAAGGACCGAGAGAAAAGUAUGGGGACACGAACUGGCAUACCAGGG
rnacentral:lncRNA from 1 species